ACAGGAGCACUGGAGUUACGGAUAUGUGCUACUUUGUGCUACCAUGUCCCAAUUUUAUGAAGAUUCCAGGGAUCCGAAGCCACAUUAUUUUUAUAUCUGCUGGUAAAAUUUUUAUCAAGAAAUCCAUUCUGCCUGGAUUUAUGAACUUAUACACUGGGUUUACCAUAAGAUCAUGGUCCAUCAUUGAGAGAAGCCAGGACAGGAACUCAAGGCAAGAGCCUGAAGAGAGAACUGCUUGCUUUUCAGUGCAGCAUUACCUUUAGCCAGUUCCCAUCAAGUUUAUAAAAACAACCAAGUUGAGACUCUUCCUUCCCCCUCCACCGGCC
rnacentral:lncRNA from 1 species